rnacentral:tRNA from 1 species
GGAGAGAUGGCUGAGAGGUUGAAGGCGCAGCACUCGAAAUGCUGUAAGGGAGCAAUCCCUUCGAGGGUUCGAAUCCCUCUCUCUCCG